rnacentral:rRNA from 1 species
GAUGAACGCUGACAGAAUGCUUAACACAUGCAAGUCUACUUGAAUUUGGGUUUUUUAACUUAGAUUUGGGUGGCGGACGGGUGAGUAACGCGUAAAGAACUUGCCUCACAGCUAGGGACAACAUUUGGAAACGAAUGCUAAUACCUGAUAUUAUGAUUAUAAGGCAUCUUAGAAUUAUGAAAGCUAUAUGCGCUGUGAGAGAGCUUUGCGUCCCAUUAGCUAGUUGGAGAGGUAACGGCUCACCAAGGCGAUGAUGGGUAGCCGGCCUGAGAGGGUGAACGGCCACAAGGGGACUGAGACACGGCCCUUACUCCUACGGGAGGCAGCAGUGGGGAAUAUUGGACAAUGGACCAAGAGUCUGAUCCAGCAAUUCUGUGUGCACGAUGACGUUUUUCGGAAUGUAAAGUGCCUUCAGUUGGGAAGAAAAAAAUGACGGUACCAACAGAAGAAGUGACGGCUAAAUACGUG